AUGAAGAGAUUUGAGUUUGAGCGGGAGAUGGCGCGUGUGCUACUGCACGUGUCACGGGAGCAACCGAUUCCCAAGCCGGCGGCCGGCCGCGGUGACAACACGCCCGAGCGGGCGUUCGUGUGCAAGACGUGCGACCGCGUGUUCCCGUCGUUCCAGGCGCUGGGCGGCCACCGCGCCAGCCACAAGAAGCCUCGGCUGGACGGCGACGGCGACCUCAAGCCCAAGAUGCAUGGCUGCUCCGUCUGCAGCCUCGAGUUCGCCGUCGGCCAGGCGCUUGGUGGCCACAUGAGGCGUCACCGUGCCAUGCUUGCAGGAGGCCGUGGCGUCGCGACGUCACCGCCAGCAACAACUAUCAACAAGCCCGUCGUCGGUAGCAAGCGCGUGCUCUGGCUCGACCUGAACCACCCUCCAUGCGAUGAUGGCGGGAGCAUCGAGGCUGAUCACAGCGAGUGCGGCCAUGACACCGCCACCGCCGGGUACACGUUCCACCAGUUCCUGGAUACCGGCAUUUCUUAG
rnacentral:rRNA from 1 species